AUCAUACUCCCUCCGUCCGGAAAUACUUGUCGAAGGAAUGGAUGUAUCUAGAUGUAUUUUAGUUCUAGAUAUAUCCAUUUUAUGCAUUUCUCCGACAAGUAUUUCCGGACAGAGGGAGUAGAAG
rnacentral:pre_miRNA from 1 species